GGUUGAGUUGAGACUCUUGAGUCUUGAGACUCCCCCCAAUCAAAAAAGAGGUUACAGCAAUUCAUUCUUCAAAACUUAGGAGUUCACAGUUAAUAUUAGACUAUUCUUUUGGAAUAGAAAUUCAGCUUCUUUUCGGAAUUCAGUUUCUACUGUUAAGAUGACUCAUUAUUUUGUGUUAGGCCUAUUGUGGAUUGAAUCAAUUGGAUGCCAUUUUCAUUGUAGGUUUCAGUAUGAUUAGGACAGUCAAGAAGAAACAAAGAUCAUGGACGUAGUGAAAAAAGGAGAAGGGGAGAGUGUGGAUGAAGUGAGUGAUACAAAACUAGACUCUAGUAAGACUGACAUAAGUAGUGUGGAAUAUAAUAGCGGAGAGUGUAGAUGAGAUGGCCGCUGAAAAUAAUACAGCUAGAGGAUGACGGCAAGGCUAUUGGAUUGUUGUGGGUGGUGGGUUGGAUGAGAUCUUUGAGAGCCUGACUUCUGCAGUUCUUGCCGCUUCCAGGGCUGCAAUUCCUGAGAAUUUGUCCUCAAUGUAUUCAACUACGGCAGGACACCCAUCAAACGCAACUCAGAUACCUGUGACAACGUCUCACAAGAAGUACACUGAGUUUCACGGGGGUAGGAAGCUAUAGUUCCCCAAACGAAAAUGGGUCUCUCAAGGCCCCUGCAAUGUUGCCACUGUUGUCCACCCCUCACUCGACCAGUCUAUAUACAUUGACUAUAUUUCUACACCCUGAAGAUAGCUCUUUCCUUCUCAUACAUUCCCUCUUCCUCUUUUACGUCACUACCUGUCACAAAUUCUUUUGAGCACGUCAGGUUCAAAAGUUCUAUUGUGUCAUUCUUUGAAGUUAGAACAAUAAUAUCCCCCGUUACCUCCUCCCCUCCUCCGUUAUCUUCUUCAACAUCAUGAAAUGGAGGAAAUAAUAUUGUUAUGUAUAAUGUAUAACUCUUUAUUGAGUCAUGACAUCAAGAAAUCCAAUUUUAUAAUCAUGAUUAGAUUUUUCUUUAUAAAUGCAACUAUUUAUAAACUGAGCUAUUACUUCAUAAAAGUUACUUGAAGACUUUUAUAAUACGGUAAUCAAUUGGAAGUGGAGUGAUGUAAUUUUAUUCAAUAUUCUUGUAGUGUCCACUUCAUUCUGCAUUUUUCAAUUUGCAUGAAUUCUCAUUUGAUCAAUUCUCAUUCAAACACCAGUACAGCUGUUGAAAGUUAUAUUUAUUAUAUAUAAUAUAUAAUCAUUAUGUACAAUACAUUUGUAAAACUGUGAACUAUAUUGUCCUCGUCGUAGCCAACAAUCCAUCGAAGACAAACAAUACUCCUCACAAGAACAAUACUUCACUCUCACACCCUCUCUCUCUCACACAUUCACUUUCUCUCUUACUAGCCACCCUUAGUACAAAGUGGCAACAGUGUGAGUAGAGACGGGUGGUGGUGUCAAGAAGAAACUUCGACUUUGAGGGACCCAUUUUCGUUUGGCCAACUACAGUAAGAUGUUACAAGGAGUACUUCGUGUCUCAGGAUGAUCUAGCGGUGAAAUCGGUGGACGUAACUAGCUCUACUGUUGGCCGAUGAUGAUAAUAAUAAUUCAGUAGGCCUAGUGAAGGUGAUUUCCAUAGCAGAGAGUUGGAGGAUGAGGAGGAUUCGUUUUCGUCCUCUGAUGUAAAAACAGAGCCCAAGGAUAUUUCAUGUGUCACAUUGGGACAAACAUAGCGAUGUAUGGAAGAAGUAACUUGGCCACCGUACCCAAAGUACCUGACAAUUGUACAUUAAUAUGGAAAUCGAACAGAAUGAAGAUCCAAGUUCUUUGACAAUUAUCAGGAGUUAAGCCGAUGAAUUGCCACAUGAUACUCAGUUUCGGUCUUGAGGAGGAAGCAGUUCAUCAUCGAAAGCCGAAUAGGUACAUUUGAUGAAGGGGAUCAACGUCAUGACGAAGAAUUAUCCCCAAAUUAUUUUUACGAUAAAAAGGACUGAAAUUGAAAGAAUUAUCUCGAAAGGUAUCAAUUAAAUAAUUUUAAUUUGUUUUUGAAAAAAUGUUUCAAAAUACAAAAAAUACAUUACACAUACCGACUCCCGACAGAAAAUAUUUCUGAUAAAAGUGUUCAUAGAUAUAAAAAUUUGUAUUUUUUAAUCGUAAAUUAAAAGGAAUUAAUUAUUUAUAAUUCUUAUUAUAAUGUCUACCUUUAAAGAAAAUAGUUAUGAAAACAUAUUUUAAAUCUUUUUGUUCCAUUUAUUCUGUGACUAGCAGUUUUCACAGAAUUUUGCUUCAUGCCACUUAUAUUAAUUUGAGUAUAAGAUGCAUGAAAGAUCUUACAAAACAUGUGCAUAGGCUAAAUGUCAAUUACAACAUGAAUGCAUGUAAUAAAAAAUCACAUCUAUUAGAUUAUAUAGAUUUUUCCAAUUUGACAAGUACCUACAGAAAUGUAGUGUAUUAAAUGCUCUGUCAAAACUUUACAGCAAACUUUUAACAUAAAGGCUCCAUUACAGGUGAGAUAGUUGCUAAAGGAAAAUUUCAAUGUCCACUUUUCCUUUAUAGGACUACUACAGUUAUUGAAAUGAAAAUAAGCAAGUACUCUUUUA
rnacentral:misc_RNA from 1 species